UACGUAGGGUGCAAGCGUUGUCCGGAAUUAUUGGGCGUAAAGAGCUCGUAGGCGGUCUGUCGCGUCGGUCGUGAAAACUUGGGGCUUAACCCUGAGCUUGCGGUCGAUACGGGCAUGACUGGAGUUCGGCAGGGGAGACUGGAAUUCCUGGUGUAGCGGUGAAAUGCGCAGAUAUCAGGAGGAACACCGGUGGCGAAGGCGGUUCUCUGGGCAUUACCUGACGCUGAGGAGCGAAAGUGUGGGGAGCGAACAGG
rnacentral:rRNA from 1 species